UACGUAGGGUGCAAGCGUUAAUCGGAAUUACUGGGCGUAAAGCGUGCGCAGGCGGUUCUAUAAGACAGAUGUGAAAUCCCCGGGCUUAACCUGGGACUGCGUUUGAAACUACAAGGCUAGAGUGUGGCAGAGGGGGGUGGAAUUCCACGUGUAGCAGUGAAAUGCGUAGAGAUGUGGAGGAACACCGAUGGCGAAGGCAGCCCCCUGGGUUAACACUGACGCUCAGGCACGAAAGCGUGGGGAGCAAACAGG
rnacentral:rRNA from 1 species